CAGCCCAGCCCAGCCCGAGCCGCCGGGCAGCCGCGAGCAUGAAGGACCGCACCGGGGAGCUCCGCGCGGCUAAGGACAGCGACGAUGAUGAUGAAGUCACUGUUAGCGUGGACCGGGAUCGCUUCAUGGAUGAGUUCUUUGAACAAGUAGAGGAAAUUCGAGGGUUUAUUGACAAAAUUUCGGAGAACGUGGAGGAAGUGAAGAGGAAGCACAGUGCCAUUCUUGCUGCACCCAACCCAGAUGAGAAAACAAAGGACGAGCUAGAAGAAUUAAUGUCCGACAUCAAAAAGACGGCAAACAAAGUGCGCUCCAAGUUAAAGAGUAUUGAACAGAGCAUUGAACAAGAAGAAGGACUGAAUAGAUCAUCUGCUGACCUAAGGAUAAGAAAAACUCAGCAUUCCACAUUAUCACGCAAGUUCGUGGAGGUGAUGUCGGAGUACAAUGCCACGCAGUCUGACUAUAGAGAGCGCUGCAAAGGGAGGAUUCAAAGGCAACUGGAAAUCACUGGUAGGACUACAACCAGUGAGGAGCUGGAAGACAUGCUGGAGAGCGGGAAUCCAGCCAUUUUCUCCUCUGGGAUCAUCAUGGACUCCAACAUCACAAAGCAGGCACUCAAUGAGAUUGAGACGCGGCACAGUGAGAUCAUCAAGCUGGAGAACAGCAUCCGGGAGCUGCAUGACAUGUUCAUGGACAUGGCGAUGCUCGUGGAGAGCCAGGGGCAGCAGUGACCAUGCUGGAAUGGGAAGCCCCUGUGUCCAGACUGAAGUCUGUGAGGUGCCAAGGAGAACCCUAGGGUAGGCAGCCUGUUCUGCAGCCUGACAGCAGCAGGUAAUGGGAGCAACCAGAGGAGUGUGCCUGGAGCUCACACCAGUGCAUACAUGUGUGUGUGUGCGUGCAUAUGCGUGUGCGUAUUCUCUCCUGUGCCACGCAGGGUGAGAUGAUCGACCGCAUCGAGUAUAAUGUCGAGCACUCCGUGGACUAUGUGGAGAGGGCUGUGUCUGAUACCAAAAAAGCUGUUAAGUACCAGAGCAAAGCCCGACGGAAGAAGAUCAUGAUCAUUAUCUGCUGCGUGGUGCUGGGCAUUGUCAUCGCCUCCACCUUCGGUGGCAUUUUCGGAUAGAACUUCCCAAGCCCAGACUCUUUCUUUUCAAAGAGUCCAAGAAAGUGAGGCCGAACUGCCGGGCCUGGCAGCCGCCCUGCAGGGAGCCUCGCCUCAGCGCCCCCGGGAGCCCUCCCAGCAGAAUUUCAGUUUCUAAUGCAUGAUCGUUUUGUAACUGUGCGUGUGGUGCGGUACGUCUGUGUGGAGAGGGGCUGCACUAGGCCAGGAGGGCGGGCAGUGUGGGGAGCCAGGGUCAGGGCAGGAGGGGACAACAAAGCAGGGACCUGAGAUGCCAGGGGUUGGGGGAACUGGGAUCCAGAGAGGGCAGAACACACUUGGCACUGCUUCUAACACAGGGAGCCAGAUGGCAUAGGCACAGGUGCAGGUUGCCCGUGACCAGUCUUCUAACAUGCAGCCAGGCACAUGGCAGCUGAACCCACUGGCUGAAGGAGCACCCUGAGAACAAGGAGCAGGGCUAAUGUCAGUACAGGGCAAUGCUGGGUUAUCAGGGCAGGUGCUGGCCAACCAACCCCCCAGUCAAUUCUGGUCCCUUGCUGGCACAGCUAACAUCUGUGUCCCUAGCACCUGCCCUGUCAGGCCACUCAUAACGCAGCACCUCUGCUGGCUCCUUUUCCUGGCCAGUUGUGGCAUCACGCCCACCUCCUUGGCAGAUGCUUCCUGCAGUGUCCCUCACACCUGGCAUCCCUUGGCUCUUCUGUGACCACUUCCUGCAGUGUCCUGGCUUCUCUUCCUCUUCCCCAGCUGCCUUGCCCAGUAGCUGCUCUGGGCAUGUUCCCUCCACUGUGGCUCCUGCAGGGCUGGGUUCUCUGCUGCUGCCUGUGCUGGUCGGAAAUGUUUUUCUGUGAGGCUGCGCUGACAGGACAGCAGUCCCUGUGCCCAUGGAGUGCACGUCCCCGGGUAGGACCAGUGCUGCUGCAUGGGAAGGAUCAGGGGUAGACAGAUCGGGGUAGACAGAACUGCAUUCCUCCCUGCUGCCCCCUAGGCCAGCCAGGGCACAUUCUUGCUCCUUGUCCUUUUGGCCUGAGAGGUGAGCUGUGCAGAGCUGGCACUGUGCGGGGACCCCAAAGGAGGAUUGAGCAGAGGCCUGAGCUCUGCCACUGACUGGGCAGGGGAGAUGGUGUGGGAGCAGGGGUAGUUCUUGGCCUUGCUCCUGGUCCCCUCCAUUCCUAUGCCCCACUGUUAGAAGAGCCCCAGGUCCCUUCACUGCACCUUGCACUUACUUGGGGAAUGCCCCAUGGUACUGGAGGUCGCCUUGGCCAUUGCCUAACACUUCCGCCAGCUCUGGGCUGAUAUUCAUAGAAUCAUAGAAAAUUAGGGUUGGAAGGGACUUCAGGAGGUCAUCUCAUCCAACCCGCUGUUCAAAGCAGGAUCAUCCCCAAUUAUCAUCCCAGCCUAGGCUUUGUCUAGCAGUGUCUUAACCAUCUCCAAGGAUGGAGAUUUCACAACCUCUCUGGGUAGCCUGUUCCAGUGCUUUACCACCCUCCUAGUGAGAACAUUUUUCUUAGUAUCUAACUUAAACUU